CGCUAUCACUCCUACGGGGAGGCAGCAGUAGGGAAUCUUCCACAAUGGGCGCAGGCCUGAUGGAGCAACACCGCGUGAGUGAAGAAGGGUUUCGGCUCGUAAAGCUCUGUUGUUUAAAGAAGAACACGUAUGAGAGUAACUGUUCAUACGUUGACGGUAUUUAACCAGAAAGUCACGGCUAACUACGUGCCAGCAGCCGCGGUAAUACGUAGGUGGCAAGCGUUAUCCGGAUUUAUUGGGCGUAAAGAGAGUGCAGGCGGUUUUCUAAGUCUGAUGUGAAAGCCUUCGGCUUAACCGGAGAAGUGCAUCGGAAACUGGAUAACUUGAGUGCAGAAGAGGGUAGUGGAACUCCAUGUGUAGCGGUGGAAUGCGUAGAUAUAUGGAAGAACACCAGUGGCGAAGGCGGCUACCUGGUCUGCAACUGACGCUGAGACUCGAAAGCAUGGGUAGCGAACAGGAUUAGAUACCCUGGUAG
rnacentral:rRNA from 1 species